UGUCAUGCCAAUGGCACUGCCCGGUAGCUAAAUGCGGAAGAGAUAAGUGCUGAAAGCAUCUAAGCACGAAACUUGCCCCGAGAUGAGUUCUCCCUGAGACUUAGAGUCUCCUGAAGGAACGUUGAAGACGACGACGUUGAUAGGCCGGGUGUGUAAGCGCAGCGAUGCGUUGAGCUAACCGGUACUAAUGAACCGUGAGGCUUAACCUUACAACGCCGAAGCUGUU
rnacentral:rRNA from 1 species